rnacentral:lncRNA from 1 species
GGCAAAGAUUUUGUAGACUUCCUCUUCCACUUCCUUGCAUUGCCGGUCGGAACGGUGAUCCAGCUCCUCACAAAAACCGGGAUGGUGGGCAGUUUAGGCAAUCUCUACGGCAGCGUCGAGAAGCUGAACGAUGUGUACAUUGAACCUUCCAAGAAAGACAUUCUCUUGAAACCCAAAGCACCCUCCUGCGUCUCUGAAAUCCCACUUAUAUUGCCUGAGACUUCUUCAGAUUCAACGCCCAAAACCUACUACAGGUGCCCUCAACGUUCGUAUCAUAACUGUUCAGGCUAUGUGGCAGAGGACCCUUCUGCACAAUGUCCCCAGUGCAAUAAUUCCAUGAACCACCCAAUUACUUUUGUCAAAUCACUGGCCCGUAACCCGGCGGCUGCUGCGGCAUCAGCAGCUGAAUCAAAUAGUAAGGUUGGUUUCGUGCACGGGGUGGUUACGUACAUGGUGAUGGACGAUCUGGAGGUGAAGCCAAUGUCGACUAUUUCGAGCAUUACUUUGCUUACCCAGUUCAACGUGAAGGAGAUUAGGCAUCUUGAGGAGAAGGUGGUCAGCUUGGGAAUGGACGAGGUAAGCCCAUGCCAUCCCUUAUGACUAGGUUAUGUUUAGAUUUUAGAAGUGACUCAACGAUUUGUGGAACCUCUAUUUUAAAGAAGUACGAAUUACAAAUGAAUUUCAAUCGACAUGAGUUAUGUGAAAGAGAAAUUACUAGGUCCAUCCCAUAAAAAAUAUUCUCAACAAUUUUUUGGUAUAUAUCGAUUAAUCAAAAUUUUAGCUUUUGUACCAUUAUGUAUAUGCUUGUAGGUUAAAUCAAGAUCGUGUUCACCAUUAAUACAGAGCUUAUAAAGUAAAUGUCCUUUAUUAAUUAUUUGAUUUGUAACUGUGAAGGGUAUAAAGCUAUUGAGGACUUCAUUUCACUCCAAGAAGGUUCUCACUGAUGUCUUUCUCGAUGACGAAGAGAUCGUGAUCAAGUGACUAUAUAUAUGCGUGUGGGGAUGUGUGAUAUAUGAAGUAUGUGGAGUGAUAUGCUCUGAUUUUGUAAGAGUUUAUGCAAGUCGUGCAGCGCGGACUGAUAUUUUUAAGGUUUUUCGUUUUUGUGUGGACGUUUUAGCAAGUUUAUCGUCUCUUUUAGCGAUAUGACUGUAUUAGUCUGGUUGUAAAAAUGAUGUGAACAUGCUGAAGAAAGAAUAUAAGUCUCAUAGCCUAUAAUGAAUGCUAAAGCAUGUGUCAGAAAUGUGGAACCACUAUAGACAUGCCACUCGUAAAAUUAACGGUGCUGGAGAACGUGGGGUGACUAAUUUUAAAGUAAUUCGAAAAUGUCCCUGGUAAGUUGGCACCUAUGUCGUGGGGUUGGGUCCAACUGAGUGCCCAACUCUCAAUCCAUGAGAAGUUGUCCUUGAUACUCUAUUGCAUAAGCUUGGAUAUAGAGGUGAAAAAGACAAUAGCUUGAUUCAUCGCCUAAAUGAGAUCGGCUCAACUUUUUUUGAGCUUAAGUCAUGCUCAAGUAACUGGAUUAGUUUUUCGAGUUCAGUUCGAGCUUAAAGAUACUUGUCUCGAUCUUCUCAUGGGCCUAAUCGAGCAUACUAAUUUUGUUAUAGAUUUUCCUUACUAUUUUUAGUGAAAAAAAUGCAAAAUGUACUUAUAAUUCUACUUCUUACUAUGUUAUUACACUUUCAUUCUUUGACACAUUUUUAAACAUAAACAAAAGGAGCAAAUGCAAGUGUUUCAAGCCAAGCUGUGUUUGAUUGAGCAAGAAAAAAUAACGUAUGUUGAAAUGGGUCAGUGAAAUUGGGUCAAUGAGGGUGUUCCAUCCUUGAUUUUUCAAGUGCAUGAUUGCUAAUUUGAUCAAAUUAAGCCAAAUGGAAGUGAUUUUUUCAAAAUUAAUAUUGAAAUUGAGUUCCAUCCAAUCAAUUGUAUCCAAUUUUGGCUAAUUUUCACUCAUAAUAAUGAAUUGAUUCAGAACCCCUAAUUGGGUCAAAAUUGGGGAAAUUUGUUGAUGAGUUGUAAUCUCAAAAUUGGCAUAACAAUUAAAUGCACUAUGACCUAUAGAUCAAAUGUCGUAAAAGAAACCAUCUCAAAUGACGACUAGAAAUGUACUAAUUUUUAUUUUGGCCAAUUAAAUAUCAAAAUUCCCAAUUGGGGAAAAGUCGACUCCUAUUUGAUUUUUGCAAAAUUGAUGAUAGAGAAGUCAAAUUGAAAUAAAAAUAUGUUGAUUUGUGAGUUUUUCCAUUUUUUCCUUUUUUUAAUGGUUGACCAUUUUCAUAUUUUCUAAAAUUGAAAGUGCAAAUAUGAAUUUGACACCAUUUUUUUUUAUUAAUAAGCUAAAUUUUGGCCAAAUUUUGAAUUUUUUUAAAUAAAAUUUUGACAAAAAAUUCAACUCUAAAGUCAAAUUUUUAACUUUUCAAAAUUAAAGUACAAAUAAAUCGUAAUUGAAGGGCCAACACUAAUUCAAAUGCUAAAUAGCUCUUUUUGGCAUGAUACAGCCCCUGUUUUUUUUUUUUUUUUGGUCGGAAAUACUUAGCACUUUAUUUACGAAGGGAAAGCAUUACAACCCGUUUUUAGGGCAUCAAUACAUAGCGUAUCCAGAAUAAUCUGAGGAGGUGAGGAGGCCCAGUUUGAGUUCAAAAAGCCACGGCCAAAGGCCUUAGCGGCCCAGUCGGCGAGGGAGUUCGCUUCCUGUCUACAGUGGCACAGGCGUAAGUGGGAAAAUCGGGAGAUCAAAUCUGCAACUUCCACAACUAGGUUUCGGCAGUCCCAUGGUGGCGAUCGGUGAUCGUUGAUCGUCUCUACCAUUACCAAACAAUCGGAAUCAAUUUGCAGGUGAUCAUCUGUCAUCCCUUUUUGUAACAGAUAGUGAAGAGCUUGAUGUAGGGUUCGAAUCUCCAUUUGUAGAGGAGAUGAAGCGGGAACGAUCUGGGAGGAUCCACCAAUCAAAUUGCCUUCAUGGUUUCUGCAAACACAAGCGACCGAGCCUGUUUGAUCUGCUAUAGGGAAAGCCCCAUCAAUAUUCACUUUGAUUGUUCCUUGUGGUGGAGGAUUCCAGAUCCGAGAGGUAGGCAACACCAAUCGCCCUGUAGUUGUUGCGUUCUUCUGCUUACUACGAUUAAGCUCUGCAUUUGUAAGUGCCAGAUCUACAACCUGUUCAUGUGUUGACCACUUGUUGCAGAAGAUGAAGUGAUUCCUCACUUGCCAAAUCUGCCAAAGAAGGGCUACCACUGUCUCCAGUUCAGGUACGUUUACUCCCUGCAUUAAUAGAUCUGCUAGCCAAUUAGACAUCCUGUGUGUAUUGUAUGCUGAAAGAUUAAUUUGCACUUUGGGAUGGGACCAAAUGCCCUAUAUCUAUGGGCAAAGGAGAAAUAAGUGUUCGGUGGUUUCAGGAAGAUGAGUUUGACAUAACUGACAUUCUGGGUCAAGGAUGAUAUGUUUCGAAGUUUGGGGGCUGUCUUUAGUUGCCAAAUCUUGCGCCAGACGGGGCUUAGGAGUUAAGGGGAUAUGGAUGCAAAGUUGGGAAGGUGUUUGGGAGCAUUUUGUUUAAUGAACUUGUAGCCGCUUUUGACCGUAUAGUCUUCAGUAGGUAUUCCUAUCCAUAUAAUUUGAUCUGUGGUCGGAAUUGAACUGAGAGGUAUGGUAACAAUCUCCCUGAUAAUCUGGUCAUCAAAACUUUGUCGAAGAAGAGGAACAUUCCAAUUAGUCUGAUUUUGUUGAAUAAAACUUCCAACCAUUUCUGGCUCUCCUCUUCUAGCUGGCCCACCAAGAGUUCCUCUAGCUAACCAUUUAUCAUUGCGAAUGUGAAUGCAUUGGCCAUUCCCAAUUGACCAUUGAAGCUGAGCUGAGAUGAAAUCUCGACCUAACAGCAGACUUUGCCAGCCCCAUGACGGAGUAGAUCCUCUAGGUGCAUGCUAAAAAUCAGUAGAAUGAAAGUAUAAACCUUUAAACACACGGCUCCACAAAAAUGAAGGGCAUUGGGAUAUUCGCCAUGCCUGUUUACCGAGUAGUGCUUUAUUAAGACUAAGUAGGUUGCGAAAACACAGCCCCCCAUUUUCCUUCCUUUCUUGAAGUAGGUCCCAACUUUUCCAAUGGAUGCCCGACUUAGUACAACUAUUUUGUCACCAAAACUGUGCUAUCUUCUGCUCAAUAGACUUGCAUAGAGAGACUGGAAGUUUAAAAAUUGACAUAGCAUAGUUUGGUAAGGCCUGUACCACAGAUUUCAGUAAUAUUUCCUUCCCACCUUUGGAUAUAAGCUGUUCUUUCCACCCCACCAACUUGGCACUAACCCUCCUUAGUAUCCAAGCAAACAUAUUAUUCUUAGAAACUCCCAAAUCAGAUGGUAUUCCUAAGUACUUGCCAGUUUUUUCAAUCAAAGGUACUCGCAAUUCACUGGCCAGAUUGUGCUUUAAUGUAUGAGGAUAGGCUCUACUAAGAAAAAGUCUAGAUUUGUUUCUAUUCACUGCUUGACCUGUAGCUAGACAAUAUUGUUGUAGGAUGUUGGCUAAAUUUUGGCAUUCAAGUAGGCUUCCAUCUAAGAAAAAUAUCGCAUCAUCGACAAAAAAUAGGUGAGAGAGGGUAGGACACCACUUGUUAAACUGAAUUCCUUUGAGAUUUCUCAUAUCGACUGCUUGUUGAACGAGGGUUGAUAAAACAUUAGCCACUAGGAUGAAUAUAUAUGGAGAGAGAGGAUCGCCUUGGCGCAGUCCUCUUGUAGGAUGAAAAUAGGGUAACGGCUGUCCAUUGAAUUUAACGCUAAGGGAAACCGUUGUUAUGCACUGCAUCACCCAUUGCACCCAUUUGUUGUGAAACCCGAGCUUGCACAAAUAGGCCUCCAAAAAGUCCCACUCGACUUGAUUAUAUACCUUUUUCAUAUCCAACUUUAAAAUGGCCUGAAAUUUUCUCUUUCUUACCUUGGUUUUUAGUUGGUGUAGGACUUCUUGGACUACUAAGAUGUUAUCCUAUUUGUCUACCAGUCACAAAGGCGCUCUGCUCCGUCAAGAUCAACUCAGGUAACCAAGGUUUUAGUUUGUUCGCUAAUACUUUGGAUAUGAUUUUGCAAAUAAAAUUACAGAGGCUAAUGGGAUGAUAAUGAUCUAACCUUUCAGCAUGCGGGACCUUUGGAAUCAGAGUAAUGAGCAUUCUGUUUAAAGCUGGGGCCAUCACACCUGUUCUGAAAAAAUUCUGCACAGAGGUAAAUAUAUCUUCUUGGAGUAUGUCCCAAUAAUUUUAGUAGAACAAACCAUUAAAACCAUCUAGCCCCGGGGCUUUAGUUGCCCCCAAUUGAAAGGCAGCGUGUUUAACUUCUUCCCGAGAAACCUCAGCUAUUAAAACUUGGUUCAUUUCCAUUGUAACUACUGAAGAAACUUGUGUCAGAAUAGGGAGAUAAUCACGGUUACCUGCCGACUGAUAUGAUUGCGAAAGUAAUCCAUUGUCAUAUUCUUCAGUUGGCUGGGAUCUCAAAUCCAUCGAUGGUUUUCAUCCUGAAGCAUAGUGAUACGGUUAUAUUGUCGUCUUUAUACAGUCGUCGAAUGGAAAAACUUUGUAUUUCUGUCCCCCCACUUCAACCAGUUAAUGCGCGAUCUCAUUGCCCAAUAUUGCUCCUCUUGUUGCCAUAGAUUUUGAACUUCUUCCUUAAGCUGAUUUAUUGUUACUUUAUCAUAGUUGGUGCUUGGUCGAUUGAUAAAUUGUUGAAGUUAUUGCUGUAACAGAUUAAUUCGAUCACGACCAUGUGAAAAUGUAGAUUUACUCCAUCGGGCAAGUACUGUAGAGACGAGUCGUAGCUUGUGAUCGAGGGGUGCUUGCUGUAGUGGUAAAGAAGCCCAAGCUUCUGCAAUGACUUGUCGACUCUCCUGAUUCUAAGUCCAAAAGGCUUCAAAAGUGAAGGAUUUAUAACGUUUCUGUUUGGGAAUAUUAGUGUUCAGUAAGAGGGGACUAUGGUCAGACACAAUUGCAGGUAAAGCGAAGACUUCGGCUGUCGGGUAAGAAACUCUCCACUCCAUGGUGCAUAACAUCCUAUCAAGAUGUUCUUUCACUGCAUUAUCCCCUGCCCUAUUAUUCACCCAAGUGAAAGCACAACCCUUACUUUCGACAUCCAUUAGCGAACAACUAUUUAUAAAUGAUCGAAAAGAGUGCAUCCUAUAGGACUCAGCUAACUUUUUUCCAACUUUUUCCCAAUGGUACAUUACCUUAUCAAAGUCUCCAAUGCACAUCCAUGGCAGGUUAUUAUAGUAGCUGAUCUGUCACAAUUCAUCCCAAAGCUGCUGUCUUUGGUGAUAGACCGCAGGCGCAUGGAUACAGGUGAUUCUCAUCAGGUUUCCUCUUGGAGUAGUAGUGCAUAACAAGUCAAUAAAGUAAGCAUUAUGUCUCUCUAUACAUAAAUGUACCUGCUCAUUCCAGAAAACAACCAUUCCUCUAGCCAAACCCACUAGACUCACCACAAAAGAUUUCGGGAAUUUCAACCUCCUCUGAAUGUUUUGGAUUACUAUGUUCUGGUUUUUCGUUUCCAUCAAAAACACUGUGUCAGGCCGUUCUCAAGCCACAAGGGCCUUAAGUGCUUGAACUGUUAGGGUAUUGCCUAGUCCCUGACAGUUCCAGCUAAGUAGUUUCAUUUGUCCAUUGGUGGCUUUUUGGGGCAAGCCACCACAGCCCAACUGUCUACCAUGUCAGUCUCAUAAAUCGGAUUGUCCAUUAGAUGUGAAUCAUUAAAAUCUUAUGUGAUAUAAGAAUGCGAUUCAUAAGGGGCGUAUCUUUUGGCCUUCUUGAGUGGAUUAGUCUUAGGAGGAAUUCUACUAGCCUUAAAUUUCUUUACUUUUGAAGAACUUGCCUCUAGAUCUUUGAUGAGGAUAUGCUGUUCCUGCACAGGGGUUUUCUGCUUUUACACGAUCUCUGUUCGUGUAAAGUCAGUGAGAGAUACCUGCUGGUUGACUAGACCUGGAGGAGAUUCAACUUGUGGAGCUAAGCAAACUUCCAGAGUGGCUUGUUGCUGGUUUGUGCCCUGAGGAGUACUAGGUAAGAGAAGAGUCGAGUGUUGCGGAGUUUCAGGUAUGACCUCCUCAACAGCAUCAUGGGUAGUAUUUGCCUCAUAGAAAGCGCGCCAAUACGGGCUAUGUUCCUGAACAUCAGCCCUUAACCAUUGGCCAUAGGAGAAUUUAUCUUUCCCAUCAAGUUGCGUUUUAUCAUAAGGUAUAGUUGGACAAUACAUGUCAUAAUGGCCAAUAACCCCACAUGAGUAACAAAAGUGGGAUAAUCGUUCAUAUCUGAAAUCCAGCCAUAUAUUUCUGCCUUCUAAUCGUAUGAGCUUCCAUGGUUGUAGUGGUUUUUGCAAAUUGAGUUCUACACGAGCCCUUCCUGCCCGUAAUGUCGUACCUUCUCUGCCUUCAAGCUUUACUUCUUGCACCUUACCAAUAUUUUGCAUAGUCUUACUGAUCAUCUCCUCUGUACAGCGUUCAAGAGGAAGGCCAAACACUUGCACCAAGAAUGCACAAGUAAUGAAGUCAUAGUAAUGAAAUGGGGUGUUUGGUAUCCGGGAUUUCAAGAUAACUAGAUGAUUCGAGAACAGCCAUGGACUAUUAUCUAACAUCCUCUGUUUUUCGGUUGCCGAGUUGAACUUAAACACAUAUAAUCCCUCCUCCGGUUGAGUAAUUUCAACUUUAUCAUUGCGCCAAACUCGCUUCAGGGUAUUCUAAAAAGCUGGGAAAUUGAUAGACGGAUUAGAGAGGACUUUACCAACCAAAAUUAAUUGACAUUCUGCCAAUGUCUCUGCAGGAGCAGCUUCAUCCCAUACAUCGACCUCUUGUUGGGACCAAAGGCUACCUAAUAUGUUACAUAGAGCAGCAAGGCGUGCGUCCCCUUCCUGACUUGUGGAUUCCAUCUGCAUGCAUGCCUUGGAAAAGAAGGUAUGUAUCUCGUAUAACCACUAUCGAAAGGAGCAAUUCAAAUAUCUAAACAGAGGAAGGAUUCCUGUAAAGCAAUUGGAAGGCUUGGUCGAUGGUCUCGGAUGCAAGGCGAAUGCGGAGAAAUUGGAACGUUGACAAGGGCAUCCAUUGAUGUUGAAGAUAGAAGUCAAAUUAAUGAAACACUGAACGAGAUUGAAGAGGAAGGGGAUUAUGGGUGGAACCAAGGAAAAUGGCAUCGGGUGGAUUCGAUGAAGGAAACCAUGGCCGGAAAAAAGAAAAUCGGUGACAAAACACCAAUUGAGAAACACAGUGACAGAAGAACCGAAGAAACCAGAUGUGGGUUUGAGGGUUUGUUGAUGAAGAAGACUACCAUAAGGUAGAGGGAAACUCUACAAGUCGAGAGAGAAAACCUGACAUGCAGGAAAACGAUGUGGUAGUGAAUCCCUAUUCUCAAGUUUGUUUUUUCUUUGUAUGAUGCAUGAGGUAAAAAUUAAGUGUCGAAAGCUGCCUCUCUUUGAGAGGGAGUUCAGAGACGAAUAUUAGAUUAUGCUAAACUUGUUUUUUCUAGAAUGACAUUAUCUCUUUUUGUUCCUAAAAACAAAAAAAGAAAACAAAAAGUAGAAUAUGUAUUUUUUAAUUUCUUGUUUCUCUUCCAAAUAUAUUCAUUGGUCACUGAUGUAUACUAGAGAAUAGAAAAAUUAAUCGACGUGCACAAAUAUAUUUUUAUUCUUUUCCAGUUAUAGGGAAUGGAAAAUUGGAAAUGUUACCAAACAACCCUAAGUGGCUGUGGUUAGCAACUUAGCACCACCUAGCUUUGCGUUGACACCUUUUUUUGGUUCAUGAUUUAUAAUUUUAUUUAUUUUAUAUCCCAUGUCACUUUUGAUGCUGAAUCAUGACAUGGUGUUAAGGUAUAAGGUAAAUGGCUAAAUUGCCACUUUUAGCACUCACAUGUUUGAAAGAAGUAGAAAAUAUUAGGCACUCCACAUCAGUGAACAUGUUUUUGGGCUCCACUUGUUGGGAGAUUUCAAACCCUCAUUUUUCUCUCUCCCUCAUUGUUACUCUCACUCCCUUCCCUCUCCUAUUGCCUUUUUUGGUCGAUGGGCCUUGCUCGUCUUCAUCAUCUUUAGUACACAACCCUCUUUCUCUAGUUUAGUCAAAAUAAAAUUUAAGAUCACCUUCACAAAAUAGAGUAUGCAUAACCAAAAUUUUCAGCUAAUUUCUAGGCCUCAUGUUCAAAUUGACAUGUUGACCCGAUUGUCCAUCACAAUUUCACAGAAGAGAAUCGAUAGGUCUCGUGUUUGAAUCGACAUCUUAAUCCAAUUUUCCAUCUCCAUUUCACUAAUAUGAACCGAUGGAAAUGAUCAGUUGUUCAAUCUUCGUGAAUUCUUUGCUUGCUUUUGCAUAUAUGAUAGCAACUUCUUCUUCCCUCUUCAUUUCUCAUUCCAUGAAACCCUAGUGAGAGAGAGGAGACUAAAUGAGGUCAUGAGAGAGGGGAGGAGAGAGAGUAAUGGAGGGGAAAAGAGAGAAAAAGGGGGUUUGAAAUCUCCUAACAAGUGGGGUCCAUCAAACAAGUGGAGUUCAAAGGGUGGAGUGGUCAUUCGUCGACUUGGAGUGCUAGGCAUGUCCAAUAUUUCUUUCGGAAAGAAGGGCAGCACGAACAAAAGAAAGAAGAAAAAGGAAAAAAAAAACAUAUGAUUUAUCAACCCAAUGAAGCAAAAGAAAUCAUAAUCCCUAUGUGAGUUUAAGAAAUUUAUUUUUCAUUUUUAUUAUAUCUCAAACCGAUCUCAAUUUUUGUAGGACAUAACUAGCAAAAUGUCUUCGCGCAUUUUCUAGACCAAACAUGUGAUAUUGUAUAUUGAGAUUUAUUUUUAAUUAAAGAAAAAAAACUAAAAACUCUUUACAAAAUACAAUCAAAUCUAAACAUUUUAAAAUGCAAUCAAGUACUCAUUGGCAGUCCGUGAAAUCGAGUUUAAAUUUGUUACCAUUGGUGUCCAAUCGCAAGAAUUUGAAAAAUAAUGAUAUGGACCAUCGACGUCGCUAGUCCAAAUCUAAAGGCGCCAGAUCUAGCUGCGAACUUCCAGAUUUACGACGAUGGCUCCGACUUCCUGAUAUGGUGACGACAGCUUGUCUAUAGCCACGGGUGGUUGACUUCCAAAUAUGCAACCGUGGCUUGAGAUAAUCCAAAUUUGGCGACCGUGGCUCGUCCAUGGCCGUGAGCAAUGAUGAUUGGCUUGGAUGUGGCACCAGAGGCUCUGUGGUGGUGACGAAGAGGGGAGGAACGGAGGCUGGGCUCGACAACUCCGUCAAAGUGAAGAGGCUUCUAUCGCUGAACAAAGAGCAUAUAUUCAGUUUUGUUUAUUUGAUCUCCCAUUAAUGAACACAUGUUAAUUUCAGAGUGGAUGUAUUUAAAUAAUGGGCGCCAUAUCAAUUAUUGAUAUUGUAUUAUGGGAUUACUGAAUAUUUUCUUCUAUAAAAGCAGACGGGAGGGAUGUUUCAAUUUUCAAGAAGAUAUUAAAAAAAAAAAAAAAAAGUAGACAAAAAAGUAGGGAAGAAGAAGAGGAAAAACAUAUCAAAGAGAGAGGAAGGUGCGGGGAGCAAUGAUGAUGUGUCCCAUUUUCUCUAUUUUUUAUUCCAUGUCACUAAUGAUGUCAGGUGAAUUGCUACGUCGGCACCUUUUGCGUCCGCAUGUUUGAAAGAAGAGCAAUAGGAACAAAAAACAAGAACAAAAAAAACAUAUGAUUUACGAAGCCUAUAAGAGAAAAAGGAAUCAUUGUUCCUACACCGAUGUUAGGAGAUUCAUUUUUUCAUUUUAAUUAUAUCUCAAACCAAUCUCACUUUUUGGUCGGACAUAUUAGUAAAAAGUCUGCAUUAUGUAGAUCAAACAUAUGAUAUCAUUUAUUGAGAUUUAUUUUUAAGUAAUGAAAACUAAAUAAAAAGUCCAAACUAUUUUAUAGAGCUAAACAAGUCCUACUCAUUUUUUUUUAAAACAAUAUCAAGUCCUCAUUUUGCACUAUUUGAAAUCGAGUUUUAAAUUUGCUGUCGUUGGUCUUCAAUUGCAGGAAUUCCCAAACAUUAUGAUCGGGACCAAUGCCGGCAACUUUGCUCAUCCCUAUAUGGAGUCACCAGUUCUGCCUUGCGAACUUCCAAAUCUACGACCAUGCUCUAGACUUUCAGAUCUGGUAAUGGCAGCUCAUCCAUAGCUUCGAGCAACGGUGGUUGACUUCUGGAUGGGCAACUAUGGCUCGAGAUCUCCAAAUUUGGCAACGGCGAUUUGUCCAUAGCCGUGAGUGACAAUGGUUGGCUUGGACACGGCAUCAACAGCUACGCAAAGGUGACGACGAGGGGAGGUGCAGAGUUCAAGCUUGACAACUCCAAUGGAGCAAAGAGGCUUCUGUGGCUAAACACACAGCAUUUAUUCAAUGUUGUUAAUUUGAUUGUACAUUUAUGGACUUGUGUCAAUUUAAGAAUGGAUGUGAGUAAAAAGUGCUUAUCAUAUCAGUCAUCCAUGUGGUGCUAUGGAAUCAUGGAAUAUUUUCUCUCAAAAAAAGUAUAGGAGAUAAGUUUCAAUUUUGAAGAAGAUAAUUAAAAGAAAAGAAGUAGAACAUAUCAAGAAGAAGAGGAAAACAUUUCGACGGAAGAGGAAGGUGAGGGAAGCAACGAUCGUCAAAAGAGGGGGGGGGGGGGGGGGGGGGGGGGUCCACCAUCACCCAGCUUUGUCCAACUCCUCUCUUUAUUUCUUAUUCCACGUAACUAAUUCACGUCGGGUCAUCAUGACGUGGUCUUAAGGCAAAUUGCUAAGGAUAAGUAUGUCGGAUUGCCCAAAUCAUAAACCAUCUAGAUUGGAAUGGAUCGGCAAGUUUGUUCCAAUUCUUGGAGAGAUUAGUCCGGUUCUCGAUUCUUGAUUCCAUAAAAAUGGAACUGGCAAUUUUUGGUCCGGACCGACUCUUUUUUUUUUAAUAUAUUUUUUAAUUUCUUAAAAAUAACAAUAAAACCUAAAAUUAGAAGCAAGUCUUGAAUAUUUUAGAUUUUUUAAUUUUUUUGCUAAAUGAUAAGUUCCAUGGGAUUGGACCAGAUCGAACCGACCGGUUGGUGUAGUUCAGUUCCUAUUCUAGGAUUGUCCGAUCCAGUCUCCAGUCCCAAAAAUUGAGAAUUGAUCCUCUCGAUAUGGUUCCUGAUUCCUAGGUGGAAUCGGAUUAAAUCGGGAACCGAUCAUCCCUAUGGAUUGUUACAUUGGUGCUUUUUGCAUUCCCAUGUUUGAAAGUAGAUGUUGCGACCUAAUUUUCGGGUGCACCACCUAAAACUAAGUUAUUGGACUACUAAGUUUUUAGACUUAGCUCGGGCUCUCCCAAGCUCAUACUAAUUCGCGACUUAAGAUUCAAACAUUUAACAUGCAAAUGAUUAUUAUCUAGGAAUCGCCACUAAUCAGUUUAAGGUAGGUCGAUUAGACACCUAAGUAAAAUAAUGGGAGGAUUAUUUUACUUCUACGAACCAGAGACUAAGGGUACGGGGACUUGGUUACAUUAGAUUUCUCUAAUGCUCUUUUGGUACCAUUUCUUUUUAAUUUUCAAAAAUGUUUUUUUUUCAGACCGUUUGGAUUUUUUUUAACCUAAGUUACCACCAUGCAAAUAUGGGGGGGGGGGGGGGGUCCACCAUCACCCAGCUUUGUCCAACUCCUCUCUUUAUUUCUUAUUCCACGUAACUAAUUCACGUCGGGUCAUCAUGACGUGGUCUUAAGGCAAAUUGCUAAGGAUAAGUAUGUCGGAUUGCCCAAAUCAUAAACCAUCUAGAUUGGAAUGGAUCGGCAAGUUUGUUCCAAUUCUUGGAGAGAUUAGUCCGGUUCUCGAUUCUUGAUUCCAUAAAAAUGGAACUGGCAAUUUUUGGUCCGGACCGACUCUUUUUUUUUAAUAUAUUUUUUAAUUUCUUAAAAAUAACAAUAAAACCUAAAAUUAGAAGCAAGUCUUGAAUAUUUUAGAUUUUUUAAUUUUUUUGCUAAAUGAUAAGUUCCAUGGGAUUGGACCAGAUCGAACCGACCGGUUGGUGUAGUUCAGUUCCUAUUCUAGGAUUGUCCGAUCCAGUCUCCAGUCCCAAAAAUUGAGAAUUGAUCCUCUCGAUAUGGUUCCUGAUUCCUAGGUGGAAUCGGAUUAAAUCGGGAACCGAUCAUCCCUAUGGAUUGUUACAUUGGUGCUUUUUGCAUUCCCAUGUUUGAAAGUAGAUGUUGCGACCUAAUUUUCGGGUGCACCACCUAAAACUAAGUUAUUGGACUACUAAGUUUUUAGACUUAGCUCGGGCUCUCCCAAGCUCAUACUAAUUCGCGACUUAAGAUUCAAACAUUUAACAUGCAAAUGAUUAUUAUCUAGGAAUCGCCACUAAUCAGUUUAAGGUAGGUCGAUUAGACACCUAAGUAAAAUAAUGGGAGGAUUAUUUUACUUCUACGAACCAGAGACUAAGGGUACGGGGACUUGGUUACAUUAGAUUUCUCUAAUGCUCUUUUGGUACCAUUUCUUUUUAAUUUUCAAAAAUGUUUUUUUUUCAGACCGUUUGGAUUUUUUUUAACCUAAGUUACCACCAUGCAAAUAUGGUGACCACACGAUGUGCUCAACUAUUUAAUAAAAUAAAUCGCAUCACACAAAACAAAUGAUUUUUUUUUUUGGAUUUUCAUUGAAAUUAGAAUUCUUUUAUAAAAAUGCAUUUUUUAACUAAAUGACUUAAUCUUAUUAAUAAGAAAAUUCUAAUUAAAUGAUCCUAUUAUGCAAACUAGUUAAUAUGCACCUCAUGACCUAAUUUUACUAGUAAAUAAAUUCUAAUAAAAUGAUCCUAUUAUGCAAACUACUUAAUAUGCACCUAGUAUUUUUGUAUUUUUUUUAUUGAAAUUCGGAAUUAAUAAAAACCCUAAUUAAACUAUCUAUAAAAGGAUAAUUUUCUAAUUUAUUCUAGGGAUUAAUUUGACUUAACCCUAUCUUAUCUUAGAAAACUAUAUUUGAAAGAAAAAUGUGAUAAGUAAAAUGUACGAACAUUAUCUAAAAAACUAAUUUAGGUCCAACCCUAACUUACUUCUAAAAAUGCAACCCUAAGAAUAUAAUACUAAGAAAAAAAAUUCUAAUUUACUAAACCUAUGAUUUUUUGAUUUUUUUAUAUUUUAAUUAUUAAAUAAAUAUUAAAUCUAAACUAUAAAAAAAAUAAAGGAUUAAAAUAAUCGAAAAAAUAACCUGUUGUCUCACAGGUCAAAUUAAUGAUUAAUUUAACCAUAAUUAUCACGACAAAGAGAUCAAAAUAAUUAAAAAUCUGAUCCGAAAUCUUACGGAUCAAAUUAAUAAUUAUAAUGAUUUACAAUUAAAAUUCUACCGAAAAGCCCAUAAAUUAAUAUAAUUAAAAAAAUAAUCCGAUGUCUCUCGGAUUAAGUUAAUAAUUAUAAUAAUUCCGGACAAAAUCCUAACAGAUAAUGCCUACAAAUGAACAAAUAUUAACAUUGACAAAUCAUAUUCUAACUUAAACAAUAAUAACAAAAUUUAAUAUGAAUAAAUAAAUGACAAUAAAAAUAAUAAAAAUAAACUACCUAGGUGAAAUUUUAAAAAGAGAGCGGCGGCAAUGAGCGGCGGCGCGGUGGCGUCGAGCUCCGGCGCAGGGGACGGCGGGCAAGGGCGGAGCAGCAAUGGCAAGUCGCGGGCCGGCGCGGACGUGUUGGGCGGAGCGGCGGCUGUGCGGGGUUGGUGAUGCCGGGGGCUCACCGGUGCGGCACGGGGAUGAUGGCGCGGCGGUGGUGCGGGUUGCUGCGGGUCACAGGUUGCUGCGCGGCGACGCUCGCGGGUGCUGGUGCGCGGAGGGAGCGGGGUGCGGCGAUGAACUCAAGCUAUCGGCGAAGGGAGAGCAACGAACGGGUGAGCUACUUCGGAGUAGGCGUUGGUGGGUCACUAGCAGAGGCGGGAGCAGCAGAUCUGGACAAAGACGGGGCCGGCGGCGCCGAGGGUUGAGGCGCGGUGCUACACGUCGAGGGGCAGAGCCGGCGGGAUGACGAUGGCGGAGGGGCAGGCCGCGGGUUGAGCGGGCGCUUCGCAGGCGAAGGGGAAGCUCCGGUGGCAAUGGGCGGCGGGCGUUCCGGCGUCGGGUUGCAGGCGGGGGCGCAGCCGUGAAGCUGCAGACGUCGGCUCGGUGCAACGAUGGGCAGGGGCGUCGGCUAGGGCGCGGGUUGUUGCAGGUGGAGAACGGCGUGCGGCUUCGUGGAGAAGGAACCCACGAAGAAGAAGCACAGUGCACGUCUUUUUCUUUUUCUCUCUCUCUCUCUCUUUUCUUUUUUUGACUUUUUGACUUUUCCCUUCUCCGAAGCGUUUUCUUUUGUGUUGCUUCUUCCCUAAGAACGAAUUCUCUCAAUUUUUUCGAAUAUUCCUCCCUCAGUUACGAAAAAAGCUCUCUUUUAUACUAAUUUCGAACGGCUGGUUUGAAUGGUAUUUUAUGAGUUUCUAUCUUCUGUUGCAUUAAAUCAAAGUUGCAAAUCAGAGCGUGAUUUUGCAAUCAGCUCGAUUUUACUUCGAUUUAUUCCGUUUUAUAAAAAUUCUUGCCAUUUAUUCACUUGAUUUUCAAAUUGCUUCUGCAUUUAACAAAAUCCGAAUACUCAUCAGAAUUUCAAAUUUCCAUGCAUAAUCAAUCAAAUCAAUUUCCCCAAUUUUUUCAUUUUUUUUCCUUUUAUUUGUUCCAAUGCAAAUUUUAUUUUCUUUAUUCUUCUAGAUUUGCUAAAAAAUUAGGUGUCAACAGUAGAGCAAUAUGAACCGCAAGAAAAUAAGAAGAAGGAGUGGAAAAGACAUCAUUUACGAAUUUGAUAAAGCAAAAGGAUUCUUUAUCCGAGGUUGGGAAAUUUAUUUUUUUCUUUUUAAUUAGAUCUCAAACUGAUUUUAAUUAGUUAAAUGUCUUCUCGCAUUUUUUUACUAAAUAUAUGAUAUAGUUUAUUAUAUUUUUUAAUUAAAGAAAAUUAUACUAAAGUGUAAAUUUUUUUACAUGGUACAAUCAAGUCCUUUACAUUUUUAAAAAUGCAAUCUAAUCCUCAUUUUGCAAUUUAUGAAAUCGAGUCCUAGAUUUGUUGCCAUUUGAAUUCAAUUGCAAGAAUUCCUAAAUAUUAUGAUUUGUCGCAAAAUUAAGCAAUAUUUCAACCGUAGUUAUUAAUAAAACAUGUGGGCUUCGUCGAUCAUGGAGUAUAAGUCCUGGUUAUGACUACUAGUUGGAAAAAAAUUUAAAAUUGUAUCUUCUAUGUCAAAUCGAGUCAAGAAAAGUCAGUGAAAAGUUCAAUUAAUCAUUUUUUUAAUGCAGACAAAAAUUUAUUCUCUUGUCUCUAUAUAUUUAAACCAAUCAAUAUUUAUGCAAAGAAAAUAUUUUAAUUUAUUCAUAUAAUGUCUUUAAACAAAUCAAUGUUUACGCGAGGAAUAUUUUAAUAUAUUCAUAUAAUGUGUUUAAGCAUAUUAUAAAAAAGUCAAAAGAAUGAAUACUGGAAGUUUGAUUGUCAAAAUGAAACUUAAUCAUGUUCAUUGUCAUCAUCGGAUUAGCCCCCUGUUGUUGACAAUGAAUUGUGUACCGUAUGAACUUCCUCAAGAAGCACAACAGCGCUGUGCCACAGCUAAAAACUUGGCCAGGAAGGACCUGUCUCGAUAAUUUUCUUUCUGUCCCGUCCCCACCCAAAAGAAAAAGUGUCAACCUUUUGAAUAGUCCCCGCCAUUUCCGGUACUCUUCUAUAAGAAAGGCAAAGCUCUCUGUCUGUGACCACGGCUUGUGAUUUGUGAAGAAGCAGCCUCACACUUGCAGGGUCAAAGCAACGAUCUAGAGGUGCGCAUUUCGUUAUCACUUUGUGUUUUUGAGCUCAGUUGACGCUCUUGUAAGAUAGUGUUAGAAGAAACAACUUGAAGUAGACAUGCUCUCGUUUUUUUUUUUUUUUUUGGUUACUCGCAUCAAUUUAGACGAGGCUUCUGCAUGUCAACAUGCCUCGCCGACGAUUUUCCCCAACCGGAGUUGUUUUUAGUAAUCAUGUAGAUGUUUCUUCAUGAAACUUCUGCAGAUUUGCAUAUUUCUCCAUUUUCUCUUGCUUUCCACUGAGACCGCCUCCCGAUUGUGUCUCUUUCAUUCCAGUUUGAUUUGAAAUAUUUCGGUGAAUUUGUGAUGAUCUGGCGUGAUCAACGUGGGACCAAAGCUCAGAGUCAUGACUGUCGAGUAAACCCUCGUUAAAUGAACUCAACUUAAUUCUGAUGUUAGAGACAAUAGAACGAAAAAAGGAAUCAAUAUCUCAGUACAAGAUAUGAUUUAGAAGCCACAUCAAGAAAUUUUAAAAAAUAGAGUUAGCAGCAUUGAUAUCCUUUAAAAUUCUUUUUCCGAUUGAAAUCCGUCUGUCAUGAAGUGGGACCUAUCGGAAAUUCCAUUUAUUCUAACAAGGCACUACAGAGUAAGCAAGAAGACCUAGCGGUCUAAACAACCAACCUCAUUUUCUUUUUGCAUAAUGUGAAGAGGAGCUAUAAAUAUCUUUCUUGAGAGACCGGCCUGCCCUUCGUCGUCCCAAAUCCAAUUCCAGUCCUUCAGAAUGACUUUUGAAUAACUUUCGACGUCCUUUUCAACCCUUUCAAUUAGUUACCUAUUUUUGACCCCCCAAAAAAAAACUAGUUACCCAUUACCCCAGAGAAUAUUAGAUUACAUAGUUUUCCGCCCGGUGCAAUUGGCAGUUGGCCUACCAAGAACUGAAUGAAGAAGAGAAGAGACUGGAACGAGAUGGAAGCAAACCCUAGAUAAAAUUCUCAUUACUGACGGGGAGGUAAUAAAUUGGUAAUUUAUUAUAUAUACUUCAUUGAAUAGUGAGAAGAUUUUUUUUUUUCUAUUGUUGGAUAGAUUUUGUAAAAUUAAAUUACAUGCACCUGGCCGAUCCGUAUGGAUCUAGGUAAAUAUCUAGGUAAAUAAUAUAAAUGAGACAGACUACACCAAUAUAAUUACUAUACAAAUUCAUUUGCAAGAAUACAACAAUCUCUCUUGUUCGUCCUCCUCCUCCUUAAGGAGAGCUAUAUCUUUUAACUCGGAGAAAAUUACAGAGUUGGAAUGAAUCCUCAUUAGUUACUGGAAGGCAAAUACAAGAUCUGAACGUGCAUGAACAUAUAUAUGAUUCGUUCAAGUAUUUUACCGGGUUUCAAUUUGACCAACCACGUCUAAUCUCUCCGAGAUGAUAACAACUUCUUUGCAGCACCUUGACUCUUCAUUUGUUUCUGCCUUUUUCACUCCCUCCGUUUCUUAACAAUUUGGCCCUUAGAUGGAUAAUUACUGCCACUGCACAUACGAUGAUCGGCCAAAUCUCCAUUGUAUCUACUCACAAGCAGCAUUGACAUGUGUCAUCUUCCUCUCUGCAUAGAGUCACCCAAAGAAUGGCGACGGACAAAGUGAGCUUGAAGCUUCUGGUCAACAAGAGCACCCGAACGGUGCUCUUUGCUGAAGCAGGCAAAGAUUUUGUAGACUUCCUCUUCCACAUCCUUGCAUUGCCGGUCGGAACGGUGAUCCAGCUCCUCACAAAAACCGGGAUGGUGGGCAGUUUAGGCAAUCUCUACGGCAGCGUCGAGAAGCUGAACGAUGUGUACAUUGAACCUUCCAAGAAAGACAUUCUCUUGAAACCCAAAGCACCCUCCUGUGUCUCUGAAAUCCCACUUAUAUUGCCUGAGACUUCUUCAGAUUCAACGCCCAAAACCUACUACAGGUGCCCUCAACGUUCGUAUAAUAACUGUUCA